AGGGAUCUAGCGCAGCUUGGUAGCGCCCUUGUUUUGGGUAAAAAAUGUCACGGGUUCCAAUCCUUUCAUCCCUACC
rnacentral:tRNA from 2 species